UACGUAGGGUGCAAGCGUUAAUCGGAAUUACUGGGCGUAAAGUGUGCGCAGGCGGCCGCGCAAGUCGAGUGUGAAAGCCCCGGGCUUAACUUGGGAAUUGCGCUCGAAACUACGUGGCUGGAGUGUGGCAGAGGAAGGUGGAAUUCCAGGUGUAGCGGUGAAAUGCGUAGAUAUCGGGAGGAACACCAGUGGCGAAGGCGGCUUCCUGGCCUGUUCUUGACGCUGAGGCGCGAAAGCUAGGGUAGCAAACGGG
rnacentral:rRNA from 1 species